GCAGGAGUGUCCGAGUGGCCAAAGGAGCAGCGUUCAGGGCGCUGUGGCUUAGUGCCUUCGGCGGUUCGAAUCCGCCCUCCUGCA
rnacentral:tRNA from 1 species